UCCUGUCUAAUGUAUAAAGCAUGGUUGACUUCCACUCAGCUCGUUAGAACAUGUA
rnacentral:tRNA from 1 species